rnacentral:rRNA from 1 species
ACGAACGCUGGCGGCGUGCCUAAUACAUGCAAGUUGAGCGCUGAAGGUUGGUACUUGUACCAACUGGAUGAGCAGCGAACGGGUGAGUAACGCGUGGGGAAUCUGCCUUUGAGCGGGGGACAACAUUUGGAAACGAAUGCUAAUACCGCAUAAAAACUUUAAACACAAGUUUUAAGUUUGAAAGAUGCAAUUGCAUCACUCAAAGAUGAUCCCGCGUUGUAUUAGCUAGUUGGUGAGGUAAAGGCUCACCAAGGCGAUGAUACAUAGCCGACCUGAGAGGGUGAUCGGACACAUUGGGACUGAGACACGGCCCAAACUCCUACGGGAGGCAGCAGUAGGGAAUCUUCGGCAAUGGACGAAAGUCUGACCGAGCAACGCCGCGUGAGUGAAGAAGGUUUUCGGAUCGUAAAACUCUGUUGGUAGAGAAGAACGUUGGUGAGAGUGGAAAGCUCAUCAAGUGACGGUAACUACCCAGAAAGGGACGGCUAACUACGUG